UGGGGAAUAUUGGUCAAUGGACGGAAGUCUGAACCAGCCAAGUAGCGUGCAGGAUGACGGCCCUAUGGGUUGUAAACUGCUUUUAUACGGGGAUAAAGUUAGGGACGUGUCCCUAUUUGCAGGUACCGUAUGAAUAAGGACCGGCUAAUUCCGUGCCAGCAGCCGCGGUAAUACGGAAGGUCCGGGCGUUAUCCGGAUUUAUUGGGUUUAAAGGGAGCGUAGGCCGUAGAUUAAGUGUGUUGUGAAAUGUAGACGCUCAACGUCUGACUUGCAGCGCAUACUGGUUUACUUGAGUUUGCACAACGUUGGCGGAAUUCGUCGUGUAGCGGUGAAAUGCUUAGAUAUGACGAAGAACUCCGAUUGCGAAGGCAGCUUGCGGGAGCAAAACUGACGCUGAAGCUCGAAAGUGCGGGUAUCGAACAGG
rnacentral:rRNA from 1 species